CCUACGGGUGGCAGCAGUGAGGAAUAUUGGUCAAUGGGCGCGAGCCUGAACCAGCCAAGUAGCGUGAAGGAUGACUGUCCUAUGGGUUGUAAACCUCUUUUGUCAGGGAGCAAAGUCACCCACGUGUGGGUGUUGGAGUGUACUUUAAGAACAAGCAUCGGCUAACUCCGUGCCAGCAGCCGCGGUAAUACGGAGGUUGCGAGCGUUAUUCGGAAUUACUGGGCUUAAAGCGCGCGUAGGCGGGAUGUCAAGUCAAGGGUGAAAGUCCCGGGCUCAACCGGGGAACUGCCUUUGAAACUGGCAAACUGGAGUGGGUGAGAGGAUAGUGGAAUUCCAGGUGUAGGAGUGAAAUCCGUAGAUAUCAGGAGGAACAGCAGUGGCGAAGGCGACUAACUGGCACAUAACUGACGCUGAGGAGCGAAAGCGUGGGUAGCAAACAGGAUUAGAUACCCGGGUAGUC
rnacentral:rRNA from 1 species